rnacentral:rRNA from 1 species
UACGGAGGGUGCAAGCGUUAUCCGGAUUCACUGGGUUUAAAGGGUGCGUAGGUGGGCAGGUAAGUCAGUGGUGAAAUCUCCGGGCUUAACCCGGAAACUGCCAUUGAUACUAUCAGUCUUGAAUACCGUGGAGGUAAGCGGAAUAUGUCAUGUAGCGGUGAAAUGCUUAGAUAUGACAUAGAACACCAAUUGCGAAGGCAGCUCGCUACACGAAUAUUGACUCUGAGGCACGAAAGCGUGGGGAUCAAACAGG